rnacentral:lncRNA from 1 species
AUGGACACUGACAUCAGUCAGACAUCUGGAUUUUUAUAAUCUCAUAGAUGGAAAAUGGGAUCUCAACGUGGCUUUACUUUACAUUUUUGUUACUAUUAGUGAACUUAAGCCACAAAAAUUUAACUUGGAUUUAAGAGUCCUCUUUCAUACUUCUCUGUGGUCUGCCUGUUCCCAUCAAAUUAUUGGCACUUCAUUAAGUUAUUUAUUAAUGAAAUUAGAGCUCUGUCUGUGGUGUGAAGUGUUCAUUUUUUCCCAGAUGGUUCACCGGUCUUUCAUCUAUACUGACAUUUUUCUCAUGCAAAUGGUCAUAUUUAUAUUUUAUUUUGUGGUUUGAGCUAUCUGCUUUUCUAGGUCUGCCCUGGUCUGAUGUCAUCUUGAUAUUUGUCUGGCAAGGCAAAUCGCUCCUCUUUGUUCUCCAAAUUUGUCCUAAUUACUCUGCUUGCCUUUCUUCUUCCAAAAUAAUUUUAAAAUCAAUGAAUUUAUAGAUUAAUUUUGGGACUCUUUAGAUAUCAAGUUCCAUUUUCAUGGAGGGGGAGACUGGUACAAGUAGCUACCACUUACAGAGCCUGGCACUAUACUGAGAACUAUACCUGUUCUAACUCAAAACAGUCCUACUAAGUGGUCCUAUUACCACUCCCAUUUUGGAGAUGAAGAAACUGAGGCACUGAGAAGUUAUUCAUCUUGCCCAGGGUCAUCCAGUUGGUAGUGGCAGAGCUGGGAUGGAAGCUCACUGCUCUGCCUUUGCAGAAUGGUUUUUAAAAGAUCCUAAAACACCAUACACACACUCACAAGGGGUCCUCUGGAGAGAAGUCAGGAGGUGGGUAGACACUGAAAGACCAUGGAAUCUGUGACACAAAGAGGCCCACAUGUUUUUACAUCCUAUUGAAAGCUCACAGCAAGCUCCCUGCCUGCCUCCAAACCCAAGCUGACUGGUUGGGGUCCCCAUGUCCUCAAGACCUAGCAGAGUCUCCUCCCUGCAUUUCCAGGAAUAGGUGGUUUAAUGCCCCCAAACCAAGGCCAGCCCUGUAAUGCCAAGUAUGAAUACAAAUGAAACAUAAAAAAGUGUCUCAUCUUGAUAAAUGCCUUUUAGACACUAUCAGAGCUCCUCUGUCUGAAGAGGUAACUGUGGAGUGCAGGUAGAACUCCCUCCUGGCUACGGAGGGGCCUUGAGGACAGUCAAGAAGCCUAGCCGUAGCUAACAUGCAGGACUCCAAACACAGGAGUCCCGUGCACAGCAUUAGAAUCUUCCCCAACAUGCCAAUCAUAGGAGCCUGAUGCCAUGAGUGGUGGUGUUCCUGAGGAACCGGGAGGGGGGCUCCCCAGAAACUCAGCACCAUGGCCUAAUCUGCACUCAGCUGUGCAGGUGGAUCAGGGCUGUGGCCUCAACAUACAUUUAAAAUCUCAUCCCUGGAAGCAAAUUCAACUGAAGCCUUCUCAUUUUAUGUUCUUCAAACAUGAAACUCUAGCUCUAUUUUAAAUUUUGUUUUUUUAAAAAAAUUUCACACCAUUUACAAAAUUAACAUGUAGUUUACCAAGAAUCUGGAGAGAACAGGAAAGAACAAAAAUCUCCAUAAUCACCUAUAGCAGGGGUUUUCCGUGGUUAACAGGGUUUGUACUUUCAGCCUUUGGAGAUGGGUACUGGGAGAGGACUGGGGAUGGG